rnacentral:lncRNA from 1 species
UAUCACAACAAUUAUUUCUACUUUAUGCAGGCUGCAAUUUUUUAUUUUUCUGCGCAGAUGAAGAUCUGAAUUUAUCGAUGGAGCUUGAAAGUGUUAUCUCUUGGAUCUGCAAAAUCUGCAAAAGCAACAAAAAAAAUGAUUUUAGUAUAUAUUAAUGAUUUAAAGGAAAAUAGACUAUGGUAUAUGUACACUUUUGCUCUAUACCCACAAAUGAAUUUGUUUUAUUUCUGUUCUUUUUCUGCUAAAACAAUUUUUUCAUCAAAUUUUCAAAAGGAGAAGAAAUAGGGAAUAAAGUGGUGUCAACAGCUGUAAACAUUUUCCUCCCAUCAGAUUCACUGCGUUUUUUUUUUUUGCCAAAACUGAGAAUCUGUAGAAAUUCCUUUAAAUCAAACAUGCAAAUAAAGAAAGAAAAAAAAAGUGCAAAUAUUAAAGAACAAAAAAUUAUGCAAAAAAAUUAAAGAUGUUCAUAGAUAUGCAAAACUAAUAUGCGAAGGUAAACAGCAGAGGGAUUCGCGAAUACAGUGAGCAGAGAAGAAGGAAGAAGAUGAGGAACAGAGCUUCAACAACGGAGCCACAAAAACAGCAGCAAAAUCAAAACUUGCCGACACAAAAUCGCCUUCUCCAGACCUUAACUCUCUUCUUCUUUCUCCCAAAAAAUAACUCCCAAAAUUCUUCUCUCGAAUCUUUUUCAAAUGAUAUUCAUAGAUCUACAAAAAUGAUAAUGUAAAAACAAAAAAAAUAUAAGAAAUUAAAAAUUAAAAAAACUAAUAAACGAAAAAAUAGAUCUUAAUCAGUAUAAAAAUAAGGGGGUGGAAAUUUGACAUUGAGCAAGAAAUUUUAAACAUGGAGAAAAUUAAAAAA